UGCAGUUUUCAAGAAGGUUUCUAGAUCCAGGUUAGCCGGAGAUGAGAAGGGUGGUCGGAGAAUGGGUUUAGGCAAUGCUCAAGCCAAGAAAGUAACUGUUUAAUGAAGCAUAUGAUCUAUUAACUUGAUAGGAAGCAUACCUGUUGCAUCAUGCCAGGUCCAAACUAUGGGAAACAAUAUGGGAUCUUUCCACUAUGUAACACCCCGAUCGCGUAAUACAACAAACUGCAGCGGAAUUACCGAGGAGUCACGUUACAGGAAAUUGUUUCACAACACAUGGUAUUUAAAGUAUUGUUUUAUUAAAUAAAUAAGUUGCAUUGACUUGGA
rnacentral:lncRNA from 1 species